rnacentral:rRNA from 1 species
AGUGAACGCUGGCGGUAGGCCUAACACAUGCAAGUCGAAUGGCAGCACAGUAAGAGCUUGCUCUUACGGGUGGCGAGUGGCGGACGGGUGAGGAAUACAUCGGAAUCUACUUUUUCGUGGGGGAUAACGUAGGGAAACUUACGCUAAUACCGCAUACGACCUACGGGUGAAAGCAGGGGAUCUUCGGACCUUGCGCGAUUGAAUGAGCCGAUGUCGGAUUAGCUAGUUGGCGGGGUAAAGGCCCACCAAGGCGACGAUCCGUAGCUGGUCUGAGAGGAUGAUCAGCCACACUGGAACUGAGACACGGUCCAGACUCCUACGGGAGGCAGCAGUGGGGAAUAUUGGACAAUGGGCGCAAGCCUGAUCCAGCCAUACCGCGUGGGUGAAGAAGGCCUUCGGGUUGUAAAGCCCUUUUGUUGGGAAAGAAAAGCAGCAGGUUAAUACCCCGCUGUUCUGACGGUACCCAAAGAAUAAGCACCAGCUAACUUCGUG